AUAAAACCCCGCGGCAAGCAGGAGCUAACAAAUAAAGGGAGUGGCGGCGCCGUUUCCGACGCCGCAAUCGAAACCUAGAGCCAGAGGAUGGUUCUUCGCGACCACGAACAAGUGGAGGCGAUUAUCCUGAUCCACUCCGCCUUGUCCGACGAGAAGCAUACGGUGGUGAAUCCAGUAGAAGCCGAGCUCACCAACAUGGACCUCAAUUCCAUCUCCGCCAGGAAAGUGAUGGUAACGCCUCCCUCCAUUCGAGAAGUUGCAAGUUGGGGCAGCUAAAAGUCGGUUUCCUCAACAGGACAAGUUGCUAUUGCUAUAAUAUUCAACCACGCAACGUUGCUAUUGCAUGCAUAACUCGUGGGCAUGAUGCAAUCAUAGGCAGAUUACACUGAUGUUAGCCCCAAGAGUAGUGGGCUAUUGCCAGAAAUACUGAGGUUAGAUCAGUUGGAAGGCAGCAGAACCUUCAAUUGAAAGCCAGAUGAUAAAAAUUAUGAAAAAAUUGAGACAGAUAACACUCAUAAGGCAGAUUCCCUUGAUGAAAGAACUCAAGACAAACAUGGUAGCUCUGCAACGACUACGAGGCCAAAACAAGCAAUCCCUGUUCAAAACCAGGCAGCCGCACAAAAGCUUCCUCAAAAAAUGAGUCAUCGAAACCGGGAUGACAAGCAUUCAAGAGGCAGACAGUUUGGGGGGAACGGGAGGCAAGAGGAAGAGCCCGUGGUGUUCACUUUGCAUGUAUGAGAAAAGAAAAAAGCCAGGCAAAGCCUUCAAUUGGAGGUGCCUGUACAAGUAGUUGUCGUGAGGAGGAACUUGCACGGCAGCUCCAAAAUCAAUUUGAUUUGGAUGAUUAUCAUGUACAAAAGGGUUCUCAUGAUGUGGUGGAUGCAGAGAAUAUUAAAAUGAGCAUGUUUAGCUACCAAAAAGAAGAUGACAGAGAUUAUGAAGGGAGAGGAAGAGGAGGAAGGGGACAGCAGAGUAGUAGAGGGAGGGGAAGAGGAGGGUCUUGUUGACUUUGUCAUUCCUUUUAUUCUCAUCACACUUUACUCUGUCAGCAUCACUAGUAGAAACUAAAAUCAGAGACUGAAGCUUAUGAACUCAUCAGUCAGAGACUCAGAGUGGAAGGGAAGUGGAGAAAAUUUCCGAGAUAUUCUAUUGAGCAAUCCAUCAUUUCUGAGUCUUGCAAAUGAGAUUUUUUAUCUUAACGGGAACAGCUCUACAAUCUUACAAACAACUUCCUUCUAAAGUUUUGGAGAAUCCAACAGAACACUGUUUUUUUAAUGCGCAAACGAGUUCAUCGACUGCAAAGGUAUUAGAAAAGGUAAUAAAUCUUUUAGUAAAUGUAGAGUCAAUCUUCUGCUAACAUGUCAGGGCAAGUCAAGAUUAAUGAAAAGGUCGUAGAAACCAUUGAUUGGCAUCUUGAGGAUAUCAUUGAUUUUCUUUCUAACCUUAAAAGUGAAUUCCUUGA